rnacentral:piRNA from 1 species
ACCACCUCAUAGAGGAGUCUUGGAGUGCCUU